GAGUUUGAUCGUGGCUCAGAUUGAACGCUGGCGGCAGGCCUAACACAUGCAAGUCGAGCGGUAGAGAGAAGCGUUGCUUCUCUUGAGAGCGGCGGACGGGUGAGUAAUGCCUAGGAAUCUGCCUGGUAGUGGGGGAUAACGCUCGGAAACGGACGCUAAUACCGCAUACGUCCUACGGGAGAAAGCAGGGGACCUUCGGGCCUUGCGCUAUCAGAUGAGCCUAGGUCGGAUUAGCUAGUUGGUGAGGUAAUGGCUCACCAAGGCGACGAUCCGUAACUGGUCUGAGAGGAUGAUCAGUCACACUGGAACUGAGACACGGUCCAGACUCCUACGGGAGGCAGCAGUGGGGAAUAUUGGACAAUGGGCGAAAGCCUGAUCCAGCCAUGCCGCGUGUGUGAAGAAGGUCUUCGGAUUGUAAAGCACUUUAAGUUGGGAGGAAGGGCAGUAAAUUAAUACUUUGCUGUUUUGACGUUUACCGACAGAAUAAGCACCGGCUAACUCUGUGCCAGCA
rnacentral:rRNA from 1 species